GGCCAGCAGCAGGGCGUUGGUGUCCUUGAAGUUGAAGGUGUCGCCGCCAGUGUAAACAUCGCUGUUGUUGCCCAGCAGCUUCACGGUCAGGGUGGUGCCGGCAAGCGAGCACGAGGCGAGGCCCUUGGCGGUGGUGCCGGCCUUGACCUCCAGCACGGUGGCGCACUGCGCGGCGGUCAGGGUGCUGCCCAGGGAAGAGCCGUCCGCAGCAAAGAGACCGCUGGUGACGGGCAGGGUCACGACAACGGUGUCGGGGGCGGUGGCGACCACGUCUGACGACAGGUAAGCGGGGUUGAUGGUGAUGGUGCGCGGUUGGUAGGCGGGGCCGGAGGAGCUGCCCGCAAGCAGCAUGGUGUUGGUCGUCAGCACGUUGAUCGUUUGGCCUGCAACAGGUGACAUGCGACAAUGAUGUCCGAUUAAUGGGGGCAUUAACGGGAGUUACGUAACCCACGAGUGCAAGGCAGGUUGCUGCAACAACAGUGUGCAUAUACGCCGGCCUGUACACCCUGGCCCUCACCUGGCGCAUAGGUCGUGCCGGCGAGCGUGACAAUCAGCUGGCUGCUGCUAGUGGUGUUGAGGUCGCAGGCGUUGCCACUGCCAACCAGGGAACCACUGCUCAUGGCCAGGACAGUGUCGCAGUCCGCCUUGACAAGGCCCGCGGUCGCGGAACCGGACUUGACGAAAGUGCUGGCCGCAGGCAGGGACACAACCACGACCGAGGUGGAGGUGGCCUUGGCGCUCACGAAGGUGGGGUUGAGGAUGUUGGCAGGCGAGGUGGCCAGGGGCUGGAAGAAAAGCGCGGAGGCGCCGGUGCCCAGGCGCAGAGCCGUGUUGGUGGACUUGACGUUCAGGCGGUCACCUAGCACCAUACAGCAAGAGUACCAUGAGUUAGAUACGUGACAAGUCAAUGGAGAAUGGCCUGGGCCUGAAGCCUUUGUGCAAGUAACCGCACAUCGCCACGGCUCAUGACUCACCAGGAACAAAGGCGCUGGCCAGGUCCAGGGUCAGGGUGGUGCCGGAGGCGGUACAGGCGGCGAAGGGGCUGGACUUGCCGGACAGGUCUAGCGCGGCAUUGCAGGCGUCGGCGGUGAGCGGGUUGGGCACCGGCGAGGACAUGGCGGCGGGCAGGGUCACCAGCAGGCGGGUGCUGGUGGUGACCUGCACAGCGCCGAUGGUGGGCUGGAUGGUGGCGGCGGUGGCGCCGGACACGGGCUGGUACAGGGCGCCGGUGGACGAGGUGCCGCGCAGCGCUGAGUUGAGGGCGUUGAUGUUGAUGGUGUCGCCAAUGGUGUAGGAGCCGCUCAGCGUCACGGUCAGCAGGGUGCCGUUGUUGCUCAGGGCGCAAUUGGAUGUGGCGGCGGUGAGCACCAGGAAGGAGCAGCUGGAGCCGGUCAGGUCGGAGGCCACGGGCAGCGGCACGAUGAUGGUGGUGGGCGAGGUGAUGUGCGCGCUGGUGAUGGCGGGCGACACCUCGGUGGCGCUGCUGAGGGCGGGGUAGCUGGGGCCGUUGGCGGCGCCCAGCACCUUGAGCAGCGUCUGGUCAGACCGGAUGUUCAGCUUGUCGGUGGAGACCCAGGAGCUGGUGGUCAGGGUCACGGUCAGGCCGUCCGUCGACAGCGUGCAGGCGGAGAAGGGGCUGGCGCGCGCGGUGCCGGAAGAGUUAAACAGCGUAAACACGUUGUUGCAGGAGGAGGAGAAGCCGUCCACUGCAGCCGCGGCCACCGACAGCUUGACGAUGAUGGUGUUGGCAGCUGUCAGGUAGGCGCCGGCAAGCUUGGCCUCGCUGAUGGUGAGGGCGGAGCCGCGGGGCACAAAGGCUGGGCUGUCGCUAGAGCCAGAGCCGGCGGCGAGCAGGAAUAGCUGGCUGCUCUUCACGUUGAUGGUGGUGACACCCGAGGUGACGGAGCCCGCGCUGGCAAGCAGGAAGCUGAUGCCGGUGCCGUCGGCGCUGAGCGUGCAGUUGGUGAAGGGCGUGGCGAGCCCGGACACGUCGAAGGCGCCGUUGCAGAUGGACUGGUUGAAGGCGGAGGCGGAAGUGGGUGCCGAUAGCGACACAAACACGUUGGUGUUGCUGAUCAGCGCGGUGGACACGACAGUGGGCGUGAUGACGAUGGCGGUGCCGGCGUGGACAAAGGCCGGGCCUGAAGCGGACAGGGAGCCCAGGAAGGCGCUGUUGCCGGACUUGACGUUGAUGCGGUCACCCGCGGUGUAGGAGGCCGUGGAGGCAAUGGUGAGCGUCAGCGUGGUGCCGCCAGAGAUGGAGCAGGCGCUGAAGGGAGCAGUCCUGGACGCGCCGGCAGCAGAGACCAGGUCAAACGCGGCGUUGCAGACGGUGCCGUUGUUGGUGGAGGCCGGCAGGUUGGCGGCGUACGGCAGGGCCACAACAAUGGUGGAGGAGGCGGUCAGCAUGGCGGUGGUGGCGGCCGUGAGGAUGGGGUUGAUGGGCGUCAGCAGCACGCCAUAGGCGGUGGUGUUGGCGAACGUCAGCUUGGUCUGGCCCGACUUGGGGGUGACCUGGUCGCCCACCACGUAGAUGCCGGCGGUCAUGUUGAGCACCAGCGUGUUGUUGGAGCCGAUGGAGCAGCCGGUCCAGGGGCUCACACGCGAGGUGGUGCCGGAGGCGUCCAGCAGGUCAAACGCGUCGCCGCACUCGGAGGCAGAGAUGGUGGCGGGGAGCGCGCUGGCUAGGGGCAGCUGCACAGUGACCUGGGUGGCGGAUGUCAGCACAGCCGAGCUGAAGCCAGGCACGAUGGCAACGGGGGUGGAGGCGGCGAUGUAGUUGGGGCCCAGGGUGACGGAGGCGCCCGCGCGCAGCUGCCACUGGCCGGUGCGCACGUUCACGGUGUCACCUACGGACAGAUGGAUCGGCACAACGUUGUUCAUACUGCUGACGUGGUCUCGAAGUGGCGUACCUUGCAUUCAACAAGUCAGGCUCUCAAUUGCCAUGCACACGUGCUUACCGGCAGCGUAGGCGGCGCCAAGGGUAACGAGCAGGGCCUUGCCAUCAGCGGACAGCACACAGCCCGAAAUGGCCUUUGCGGCGGUGGAGUUGGCGGCGGCAAUGAUGACGGAGCGCGCGCAGUCGUCAGCGGAGUAGGGGGCGGGGAUGGAGGAGACCACCGGCAGGCCGACACGGACGACGGAGGCGGCGACCAGGAUGGCGGUGGAGAGGGUGGGCAGCACACUGACGGCCUGGGGCACGUAGGCGGUGCUGCCCACCUGCAGCAGCGACUGGCCGCUCUUGACGUUGAAGAUGUCGCCAGCCGUGUAGGUGGAGGCGGAGGCCAGGGUCAGGACCAGGGCGGUGUUGUUGGACGCCAGGGCGCAGGCCGAGAAGGGGCUGGACUUGGACGCAGAGGAGCCCGCCGCGCGCAGCUCAAAGGCUCCGUUGCAGCCCGCCGCAUCCAGAGUCCCGCUAGCCGUGCUGGAAACUGGCAGCUGUACGGUAAUGCUGGUGGCUGAAGUCAGGGACGCGGAGAGGACGGUGGGGGCAAUCACCAGCGCGGAAGCAGGGGGCAGGAACAGCGGCGAAGACGCGGACUGGUCGCCGGUGCGCAACAGGGUUUGGUUGGCCUUGAUGGUCACGGUCAGGCCAUCAGAGUAGGUGGUGCCGUUGGCGAACGUGGCGGUGAUGGCGGUGACAGCAGGGCCGGCCAUGCAGGCAGACAGGGCCGUGGGCAGGGCCGUGCCGCUCUUAAGGGCUACCGUGAAGAUGGAGUUGCACACGUCUGCGCUGGCGUUGGCCGGGAGGGAGACGGGCGCUGAGGCACCGAUGAGGAUGGUGGUGGUGGUGGCCAGCGACACGGUGGUGAGGGUGGGGCGGAUGACACUUCCAGCCGCUGACUUGGUGUAGCUGGUGGCCCCGUUCUUUAGCGUGCUCUGACCGGCAACAACAUUCACCACGUCGCCUGCGAUUGGGUUGCACAAAUUAUGUUUAAGCCUUGCGCGAUUUAGGCGGCCACACCACACAGCUACUACGCACCGUGCAAUUCCCAAAUACUCACCAGGGGCAUAGGUGCCGGAGCUGGUUAGCGUCAGGGUUAGCGUGUCCGCAGCCAGCAGGCAGGCUGAGAAGGGGCUGGCCUUCACCGCGCCCGCCGCCGACAGCAGCUGCACCGCCGCGCCGCAGAUGGUCAUGUUUGUGGCGUACCCAUCCGGCAUGGUGUUGCCAGAAGACAGCGGCAGCUUCACCACCAGGCUGGACGCGGUCGUCAGGGUCGCGGCACCCAGCACUGGCUGCACUGCCGCAGCCGCAGCUGCUGGCACAAAGGGAACCCCCGCCGUGGUGUUGAGUGUGGUCUGAUUGACCUUGAUGUUCAGCUGGUCGCCGGCGGCGUAGCUGACGCCGCUGGCCAGAAUCAGAGUCACGGAGGUUGUGCCGCUGACAGUGCAGUUGGCGAAGGGAGACGCGGCCUUGGUCGCGUUGUUUGAGUCAAAGUAAGCGAAUGCUGCCCGACAAUCUGUAGAAGUGGUAACGUUUGAUAGCGUAGCCAUAAUAGUGUUCGAGGCUGUGAGGACAGCUGAGCUCAACGUCUGGCCAUGUGCCGCGGCAGCGCACAGCACUACAAGCGCUAGGGGCAGCGCAAGCCGCCUGAGCCGGACCAGGGGCGAAGACGCCGCCAUGGUGGCUGACCUAAUAGAGUUAGGUGGAGUCUUAUCGAGGCCUAUGGAAACGCACUCAAGUUGCAAGGCAUGCGGUAUCGUUGAGAAAGUGUGGUACAGACGCCCUUUUGCACUUGUUUAUGUUUAGGAGCGUUGAAUCUCAAAAGCUAUCACUAAGCGCCGUGCGAAGGCGUGCUAUAGUCCGUAGGCAGGGUGCAGGGGGAGCCAGGCAGCGAGCGGGGCAGGGCGAGGCAGGCCGGAGCGGUGAUCUAAGGACCGGCGAUGUGGCCUAUCUAAGGAUACGUACGCAUGCAUGACACUACCACAAAACGACUUACACAAACACUGAAUCACAUACAUAUUACGCUCUCGUUUGCUUACAAGAAUUAAAGGUUACAAGCACAUGCUAAGGCUAACCAGCAGGUAGGUGGAUCGGUUUUCUCAGGUUCAUCUAAGAGUAACCUCAUCAAGCUACACCUAUGUUGACGUCGAUUUGGAUACCGGUUUAAUCGGUUUUCGGCGAGUGGCACUGCUGGCUCGAUUGCGCGUGACAUCGAAGAGUAGCAGUGUGUGGGAACAUGUUUUGGGGGUUUUUAAUGGCCCGAGCCCUAGAGUGUGGGAAGGUUCCCCGGAGCGUCGAGAACGGGCGCUUUCGGCAGGACCUACCAGGUCACGCCUGGUCACGGACACAUUGACACCCGCCCGCCCUGCAGCUGCACGAAUGCCACUUAAUCCCCCACUACGUGACAUCAUGAGGUAUAAUUAGUAUAGAGAUUAAGCCACGCUGGUACACUGUGCAUCGAUUGCAUUCCAUCCAGGUGAGUGGCGCUGUGCAGCAGGGUCGGGCACCUGCUGGCGCCAUUCACCUGGAUGGAAUGCACCGUAGCAGCUCGCUGCUCAUCCCCGUCGCGAACUGGCCGGUCACGGUGUGUGGCGGCCAGGUUGAGCGUGAGCACGUUCCUUACCGCCCGACAGCACGCAGGGGUUGGUGGUGGCGUGCGUGCAGGGUGGGACGGCGGCUGCCCUCGACGCCGCCGACCAGCACCUCAACGACGCUGUUGCACUGCGCCUGGGUGCGGGUCCAAGAGGCGCUGGCGCCCACGUUGGAGGUGAAGGGCAACGACACAACCAUCCAGCUGCGUCAGCGAGCGCGCCACAGCGGGUGAGGUCAGGAAGCCGGGGCUGAUGGCGAUAGGGGAGCCGGCCGGCACGAAGGCCGGGCCGGAGGUGCCGGUGCCGGCCACCAGCAGCUUGGUCUGGCUCGUCACGAUGUUGACGGUGGUGGUGCCGGUAAUGGCGGUGUUGAGGGUGAUGGUAAGCGUGGAGCCGGUGAUGUUGCAGGCGGUGUCGGUCUUGGCGGUGCGCACGGGGUUGAACACUAGGAAGUCGCAGUUGGCGGCGGCGAUGGUGGUGGAGGCGGCGCCGCUGACCACAAAGCCGCUGGCGGAGGGCAGUGUGAUGCGGAUGGUGGCGGCGGUGGCCAGCGCCUUGUAGGCGGGAGCGGUGUUGGUGGUGCCGGCCAGCAGCAGGGCGUUGGUGUCCUUGAAGUUGAAGGUGUCGCCCGAGGCGUACACGUCCGUGGUGUUGCCCAGCAGCUUGACCGUGAGCACAGUGCCGCGGCCGGAGCUGACACCACUGACGGCGCAGGAGGCAAACUUCUUGGCGGUGGUGCCGGCCUUGACCUCCAGAAUGGAGGCGCACUGGUCGCCGGUCAGGUCGGCGGUGAUCUGGGUGCCGGUGCUGUCGAACACGGUGCUCUCCACGGGCAGCGUCACCACAAUGGUGUCCGAGGCGGUGGCGACCACAGUGCUCAGCAGGUAGCUAGGUUAGACUGAUCUUGAGCGCGCGGUUCUGGUAGGUCUGGCCCGACACCAGCCCAGUGCCGGCAUACAGCGUGGUCUGGGAGUCCGCGACAGUGAUGGCGUCGCCGGGGUUGUAGGUGGCGGCGGCCAGGGUGAUGCGCAGGCUGGUGGAGGAGGUCAGGUUGCAGGCGCCCGCGUCCGUGAGCAGAGUGGAGACAACCGACAGCGCGGCGGCGCACAGGGUCUGGUCCGCCACGGCCACCGAGGCGUACGUUGGCGCCGCUCACAAAGGUGCUGCCCACCGGCAGGAUGGCGAUGAUGAUGAUCACCGAGCGCGAGAUGGC
rnacentral:lncRNA from 1 species